UACGGAGGGAGCUAGCGUUAUCCGGAAUCAUUGGGUUUAAAGGGUCCGUAGGCGGGUUAAUAAGUCAGUGGUGAAAGUCUGCAGCUCAACUGUAGAACUGCCAUUGAUACUGUUAACCUUGAGUAAUUAUGGAGUGGUUAGAAUAUGUAGUGUAGCGGUGAAAUGCAUAGAUAUUACAUAGAAUACCGAUUGCGAAGGCAGAUCACUAAUAAGAUACUGACGCUGAUGGACGAAAGCGUGGGUAGCGAACAGG
rnacentral:misc_RNA from 1 species